GCAAGACGCUAACUUCGGUGUCCUCUCUAUUAAUCCACAGGUACUGACAAACAAACUUUUAUGUUACCAAACUGGUUCUAAAUGUCAUGUAAGUUGAGUAACAACUGUUCGGCUAUAUUUUGAGAUGAUUGUGAUGAUGUUGUUUUGUGGUAUUUUGUUGUAAUGAGUAUUAGUGUAUCAUCGGCAUAAUGCUAUAAUGCUACGUAGCACUAUAAGUAUAUGCCAUGACAGUGGCAACCUGCGACUUCAGAAAAUGUGUUGUACUGUUUUAGUGUUAGCCAAGCAGUACUGAGUACAUGUAUUAAGGGGAAAGGCUUUCGUUGGUGAAACAACGUUUGGAGUCGUCUGCCGCCAUGUUGUGUUGCGUUCAGGGGACGCCAUGUUCAAAAGUGAUAGCGUAUAUGGCGCGAAUGUGGGGACAGGUUGUGUGAAUGUGAGAUGGGUUAUUUCGGUAUGUUGUUAUGCUUUAACCAUGAGUGUUUUGUUUAAGUUGUGAGUAUGUAAAGUUAUUUUGAAUUAGUUUGUAUUUAUUUUGCUUUUGAGAGAAUGCUUUUUGUAACUUUAUUUUUGUUUAUCAACUAUGUUAUUUUAUGGGAAGAAUGCAUGGUCUAGUGUGAUUUGUAUUGUGUAUAUGUGGAGAAAUAAAUGAGCUCCGGCCUGAGCAAGACGCUAACUUCGGUGUCCUCUCUAUUAAUCCACAGUUUGCUCAUACUUGGCUACGCAGUGCUCUCUAGCCUGUGUGCCGCUUGCUGCCGGUCCAGAUUCCCCUAGAUCUGGUGCAGGGGUGACCAAAUGUAUCUCUGCUCGAAUGCUGGGAUGUUUGCGAACACAACUGCUGUGAACAAACUGACAAAAAUUGCUGAUCCUCACCCCUAUUUAUGGAAAAAGAAGGAUCAAAGCUUCUAAGAUGUCUUUGUGACAUCAUCAUUCUGCUACAUUCAAUGAUGAUGCAGCCUUGACAUGAGGUUUGGCAGGUUGCUGGAAACAGUGAACACCUCAGACACGCAGCCUGCCAUGGACAGCAGAGAGAUGAUCAGAAGAACGGGUUUACAAUCAGCGACAUGCUUUUUUUUUUUUUUUUUUUUUUUUUUUUUUUUUUAACCCGACCUGUUCAUAUUGCGGCAUCUUGAAUGAUGAACGCUUUAUGAGGAAAUGAUGUGGGGCAUGAGUACGAUGAACCUUCACUCAGACAACUCCCGUCGCAGUGUUUGGGUCACACUUAGUCACAUUAAAUCUGUUUUUCAGGAUUAAAGCUUUAACUUGAACUAAAUUUUGCACGUGUGCUGAUAUGUACAGUGUUAUGGAUGUUUCACAGCAAUUGUAAAAUUAUUUUAGAAAGUGAAAACAAAAAGAAUCUAUCCUCUUUUCAAGUUUAAGAAGAUAGGUUGCAGUAGACUUUUUAAAUGGUCAGAGAUUGAAAUGUAUUGACUUUUGUAUAGUAUUUUUUCUCUUAUUUUAUUUACUAAAUGUACCUGUAUAUUGUUUACAUGUUUGAAAUAAAUUAACAACAAUAAUAAUAAUAAUAAAUUUGUAUCACUGUAAAAAAAAAUGUAUCUGAAAUGGUAAAAAUAUAAAAUUAGGAGAUAAAGUAUCAUAUCUAAAAGCUAAAGUUGGGGGUUUUUGGUAUUCGUACUUAGAAUUUGUGUGUUCGCAUAGCUUUGCUCCCACAUACAUCCACCAUCAGUACAUCAGCGCUGUCACUUGGCAAUGUGGAGAGAUCACUGGAGGUAAUGUAGAGAGAAUAGGGUGGGGUUUACUCACUAAAAGAGGCGUCCUAGAGACGCCGAAGAA